rnacentral:lncRNA from 1 species
AAUGGCUCUGUCUGUGUCUCUGUCUCUCUUCUUUUCUUUCCACUUCCUCCCUCUUUCUCUCCCUUUCACCCUUCUCUCUCUCCCUCCCUCCCUCUCUCUGUCUCUGUCUCUGUCUCUCUCCCUUCCUCCUCCUCCUCCUCCUUUCUGUCUCUCUCCUCCCUCUCUCUUCUGUCAGUCCCUAUGUCUUCUCUCUGUCUUUGUCUCUCUCCCUCUCUAUGGCUCUCUCUUUCUCCUCUCUUCUCUCUCUGUGUCUCCUCUCUUUCCUUCUCUCCUUCUCUCUCUCUCUCUCUCUCUCUCUCUCUCUCUCUCUCUCUCUCUCUCUCUCUCUCUCUCUCUCUCUCUCUCUCUUCCUCCUCCUCCUCCUCCUUUCUGUCUCUCUCCUCUCUCUCUUCUCUCUGUCAGUCCCUAUGUCUUCUCUCUGUCUUUGUCUCUCUCCCUCUCUAUGGCUCUCUCUUUCUCUCUCCUCUCUUCUCUCUCUAUGUUUGUGUCUCCUCUCUUUCCUUCUCUCCUUCUGUCUCUGUCUCUGUCUCUGUCUCUCUCUUCCUUCCUCCUCCUCCUCCUCCUUUCUGUCUCUCUCCUCCCUCUCUCUUCUCUCUGUCAGUCCCUAUGUCUUCUCUCUGUCUUUGUCUCUCUCCCUCUCUAUGGCUCUCUCUUUCUCUCUCCUCUCUUCUCUGUGUUUGUAUCUCAUCUCUUUCCUUCUCUCCAUCUGUCUAUAGUCUCUGUCUCUCCUUCCUCUCUCUUCUCUGUCAGUCCUUAUCUCUUUCUUUCUCUCUCUCUGUCUCUCUCUUUCCCCUGUCUUUCCGUUCCUCUUUUCUCUCCUCCCUCCCUUUCUCUCCCUUUCACCCUUCUCUCUCUCUCUUUCUCCUUCCUCUCUCUUCUCUCUGUCAGUCUCUAUCUCUCUCUUUGUCUCUCCCUCCUUCUCCUCCUUUAUGUCUCUCUCCUUCCUCUCUCUUCUCUCUGUCAGUCCCUAUGUCCUCUCUGUCUUUGUCUCUCCCUUCUCCUCCUCCUCCUCUCUGCCUCUCUCUUUUCUCUGUCUCUUUGUCUUUUUCUCUCGUUUUCUCCUCUCUUUCCUUCUCUCCCUCUUUCUCUGUCUCCAUCUCCCUGUCUCCCUUUCUGUCUCUCUGGCAUCUGACCAAUAGACCAACGUGGCCAGUCCAGAGUCAGGGAAGUCACGCUCUAAUGAAUCAAUACAAUAUCUUUUGCACCUGAGGAUCCUUUCAAUACUGCGGAUAAAGGAACUUUCCUUUUCACUGUUAGACAGUCUCCAAUGUCUGACUUCAUUCCAAGUCCAAACAUGAAUGAAUGCCCAGACCUGCUUGAAUCAGGCUCAGCCUGCAACAGCCUCACAACAACCCUGUGGGGCUGCUGCUACAGGCAUUAUUAUGGUCAUUUUACAGAUGGGGCAUAAAGAAGAACUCUUGCUUAUUUGUCUUAUGGCCAGUCAGUACUGGAAGCCAGAUUUCUCCCCAGGUCUUCCUGAUUCUACAUCUAGCAGCUUAGCCAUUAUGGUUCUGAUUGCUUUAUAGUUUUGUCUCAG